UUUUCUUACUUGAAGUUGCAAGUUUACAGCUGAAACGUGGCGCUAUCUGAUGCCAUCUCUAGCUCGGACAGCAAUGUCUUUUAUUAUUCUCCUGCCUCCGCUACCUGCCUGCUUCCGCUCACGAGAACGGAGGAAUGAGAACAACUCGGGAUGCGACGGAGUCGUUCACGUGACCGUCUCAGCACCUAGUGGCACACUGUAGACCAUCCCAGCGCCAAUGGAGACUUCCCUGAACAACUCAAGCUGAUGUCACAUGUGUAGAUUCCUGUUAAUUCACUUAGUUGUAGUUUCUGGUCUAGGAAGAUAGUCUAAUCUCUGGUCUCAGAUGGGGAUGCCUCCCUGGUCUGCCCUAGACACCUCUGAUCUUUCUUCCUUCCUUUCUUCCUUUCUUUCUUCCUUUCUUAGACUUAUUGUAUUUUAUGUAUAUGAGUAUUUUGUCUGUGUACAUAUUGUUAGGACCUAGGUAACUAUUACCUAUUUAAGCUUUUCAUUUUGUACUGUUACUGUGUUGCUUCUGCUGUUACGGAAAGUUUCUAAUUUCCUGUUAAGGAAACUUUCUAAUUCCAAGUUGAUUAUAUAUUCUGCUAUGCUUUGUGCCCUUGGAACACAAUCAGGAUAGAAGUCAGUAGAACUGUUUUGUAUAGUUACCCAUAAUAAGCUUGGACCCAAACCAACUACCCAACAGCCCUUCCUGCACCUAUGUAUAAGCUGGUUUUGUUUUUGUUUUUGGAGACAGGGUUUCUCUGUAUAGCCUAGCUGUCCUAGAACUCACUCUGUAGACCAGGCUGGCCUCGAACUCAGAAAUCCACCUGCCUCUGCCUCCCAAGUGCUGGGAUUAAA